UCCCCCUCACCCCUCUUGGUCGUGGCUGCAGCGUUGCUGGCACCUAUUGGCCAAGCUGUAGUCCCCUAUCCCCAGAGACGCCCCCAACCUCAGCCGAUCCUCACUCCUUCCCACAGGAGCAGCAGCAGCAGUUGGCCGGGCCCUUCCUCGCUGCCGCCGCCGCCACCACCAUGGCCACUUGUUCCCCAUAGGCCCUGAAAGGCCCAGGCCCAUCCCUUGCCUGCCUCCCUCCGCCGAUGACCUCAGUAGCCCCAAACAGCAGCAGUGGUUGACUGGGCCCUUCCUUGCUGCCAGUAGGCACCGCCAUGGCUGCUCAUUUCCCUCAGGCUGCUGAGAGGCUUGGGCCUGUCCCUCGCCCUUCCUUCUUUCCUCUCUCUCUCUCUCUCUCUCUUUUUCUGAGUUAACAGAUAUUGUUCAUCUUUUUUCCUCAUCUAAUUCACACAAUGACAGCCUCCUUCUCCUGAAGGGGCUCUUUCCUCCCUCACGACCCUUCUCUUCACAGACCCCUGCUAACUAUCUUUAUAUAUAGAGAUAGAUAUAGAGUCCUCUUCUCUACAAUCUGACCAGUAACAGUUGCAAUCCAACUGUCCUUAACCAUCACAGGCUCCUCCUCCCUAUCUGCAUAUGGAAUCUCCACUGCCCAGUCACCAGAACUUCUGCUUGUGAACUCUUGUAAGAGCUGCCAUGGGAAGACCCUUAAGGCUCUCCUCACAGGCUUUUAAUUAGAAUUAAUGGUGAUUGAGCUGGUCCUCCAGAGUCCCGUGCAUCUCUAUGGAGAUGCGGCCAAUCUCCUGCAUGAACCCGAAGGAGAUGGGCAGAUGAAUGACAAGUUUCAACAUGUAGAGCAUUUGCCUGCAACUGUUGCCCAAUAGGGCUAAAAUGCUUUAACCACAGGCCUUGAAAUCUCAAGAGAAUAAAGCCUUCCUUACAGACUUUUCAAAGACGAAAUAAACAAAACAGGCAGAAUCCACUGCAGCUCUACUGGUUGAAGACCCGUCCUACUGUGUUUAUGGGCUUCUGGAAUAAAAUUUCAUUUUCUUUUUA